rnacentral:lncRNA from 1 species
GAAGUUGAGGUCUAAUCACAUGGACUGGAUAUUGGAAGGGAGUGUUCAGAGAACACAGUGACCAGAGUUUCAGGAGAAAGAAGGCAUCCUAGAGAACAUAGGUGAAGAUGGACUCUCUGAAAGCUUCCAGCUUCUGCAGAUUGAUGUAGAAUGUGACUGCCCAGACAGGGAGCCCCUCCCACAAGCAGUACAAUGUGGUGCUUGAAAAACAUCCAGAGAAAACAGAGACACUGGGAAAAGAUAAUUGCAACAAGAACAAAAGAAAGCAAGAAAAAGAAAGAAGAAAAGCCAAUCAUGCAGAAAAUCCAGGCAUCUGCCCCCAGCACAGCAAACACUUUCUGAAAGCCUUAUCCAAAGAGAAACUCUUGGAGGCCAAACACUCAGGACCAAGACUGUGUAUCUAACGAUUUGAGUAUGAUCCAUCACGGGUCAAAGAAGGAAUUAAGUAUUGAGGGCCACAGCCGAGUUGGGAUGAC